UACGUAGGGUCCGAGCGUUGUCCGGAAUCACUGGGCGUAAAGGGCGCGUAGGUGGCCUGGUAAGUAGGGGGGUGAAAUCUCGCGGCUCAACUGCGAGGCUGCCUCCUAAACUGUCAGGCUCGAGCAGAGUAGAGGCAGGUGGAAUUCCCGGUGUAGCGGUGGAAUGCGUAGAGAUCGGGAAGAACAUCGGUGGCGAAGGCGGCCUGCUGGGCUCUUGCUGACACUGAGGCGCGACAGCGUGGGGAGCAAACAGG
rnacentral:rRNA from 1 species